rnacentral:rRNA from 1 species
AUGCACGCUGGCGGCGUGCCUAAUACAUGCAAGUCGAGCGAACGGACGAGAAGCUUGCUUCUCUGAUGUUAGCGGCGGACGGGUGAGUAACACGUGGAUAACCUACCUAUAAGACUGGGAUAACUUCGGGAAACCGGAGCUAAUACCGGAUAAUAUUUUGAACCGCAUGGUUCAAAAGUGAAAGACGGUCUUGCUGUCACUUAUAGAUGGAUCCGCGCUGCAUUAGCUAGUUGGUAAGGUAACGGCUUACCAAGGCAACGAUGCAUAGCCGACCUGAGAGGGUGAUCGGCCACACUGGAACUGAGACACGGUCCAGACUCCUACGGGAGGCAGCAGUAGGGAAUCUUCCGCAAUGGGCGAAGGCCUGACGGAGCAACGCCGCGUGAGUGAUGAAGGUCUUCGGAUCGUAAAACUCUGUUAUUAGGGAAGAACAUAUGUGUAAGUAACUGUGCACAUCUUGACGGUACCUAAUCAGAAAGCCACGGCUAACUACGUG